rnacentral:snoRNA from 1 species
GUUGUCCUACUGGUGUCACAGGCGUGGCUACUCUUCUGUGUCUGUGCCACUGAGUGGCAAAAAGGAAGUGGCUUUGUCUAUACUCAGUGUUCAAAACUCCAUGAGCACUCAGAAUGGUUAAUGGACCAAUAUAU